UACGUAGGUGGCGAGCGUUGUCCGGAUUUACUGGGCAUAAAGGGAGCGUAGGCGGACUUUUAAGUGAGAUGUGAAAUACUCGGGCUCAACUUGAGUGCUGCAUUUCAAACUGGAAGUCUAGAGUGCAGGAGAGGAGAAUGGAAUUCCUAGUGUAGCGGUGAAAUGCGUAGAAAUUAGGAAGAACACCAGUGGCGAAGGCGAUUCUCUGGACUGUAACUGACGCUGAGGCUCGAAAGCGUGGGGAGCAAACAGG
rnacentral:rRNA from 1 species